rnacentral:rRNA from 1 species
GGAAUUCGCCCUUAGAGUUUGAUCCUGGCUCAGGAUGAACGCUGGCGGCGUGCUUAACACAUGCAAGUCGAACGGGGGUUACUUCGUGGCGAUCUUCGGAUCAAAGCGAUAUAACUCGAGUGGCGGACGGGUGAGUAACACGUGAGUAACCUGCCUUUUGCUGGGGAAUAACUGUGGGAAACCAUGGCUAAUACCGCAUGUUGUGCAUGACAGGCAUCUGUUAUGUAUGAAAGGAGAAAUCCGGCAGAAGAUGGGCUCGCGUCCGAUUAGGUAGUUGGUGGGGUAACGGCCUACCAAGCCCGCGAUCGGUAGCCGGACUGAGAGGUCGAACGGCCACAUUGGGACUGAGACACGGCCCAGACUCCUGCGGGAGGCAGCAGUGGGGAAUAUUGGGCAAUGGGCGAAAGCCUGACCCAGCGACGCCGCGUGAAGGACGAAGGCCUUCGGGUUGUAAACUUCUUUGGGGAGGGACGAAAAUGACGGUACCUCCAGAACAAGCCACGGCUAACUACGUGCCAGCAGCCGCGGUAAUACGUAGGUGGCAAGCGUUAUCCGGAUUUACUGGGUGUAAAGGGCGCGCAGGCGGCCCCAAAAGUCAGAUGUGAAAGAUCAAGGCUUAACUUUGACAUGUCAUCUGAAACUUUGGGACUUGAGUAUCAGAGGGGAAAGCGGAAUUCCUGGUGGAGCGGUAAAAUGCGCAGAGAUCAGGAGGAACACCGGUGGCGAAGGCGGCUUUCUGGCUGACAACUGACGCUGAGGCGCGAAAGCGUGGGGAGCAAACAGGAUUAGAUACCCUGGUAGUCCACGCCGUAAACGA